GGAGCUGGUGAACCUGACGGGGCGGCUGUUCCAGGAGCCGCACUUCAGCUGCUACAUCGCGUCCGUGUUCGGCCUCGGCGCGCGGGUCGACCUGGCCGCCGUGCUGGCCGGGCCCGAGGCCACCCUCGCGCACCACCCACACUUCUGAAACAGGUGCUUGUUGGUCUGGUCGGUUCGUCGUUCCGUAUCAGCCAGCCUACUGCAUCUUGGUCCACCACUUUGCAGGAGAAUGUCAAGCUGAUCUCUGAGACAAGCCUUGGGGCUUACAGGUUAAUUAUCCAUCUCCUGGUCAAGGUUUAUUCCAACUAAACUUUUCCUAGAGCUGUCUGUCCAAAGUGGCUAGAGUACUACAGUAAACUCAUUAAUGAGCUAGGGAAUCGUGGUGAGCAUGCUUCAAAGGUUUUUCUUGAGCACCUAAAUUUUAAUUGCACUCGAUUGUUAGGUUCAUACCUUAUUAAUCGAUGUAAACAUCGUUACGUUUAAAGAAUUCCAUGCAGAAUAAAAGUUGAAGACGUUGAUCAUUUGAACCCUGCCUCCAUGAUAUUUACCUCAAAAAUUUAAGUCUACAUCAUACACAAUUGACUGGGCUAGGUAGUGCUCCUUUUUAUCUCCCUGAAAAAGUUGUUCCAUUAUCCCUUUUUUUUGCUGUUAAAGUGCAAGAUUUCAGAACUAUGCGCUAAUAAAAAACAAAAAAGGGAACCUUCUACAUAGGGCCAAUGCAAUGAGUUGUUGUCAUGAAUAUCUACUCCAGGAGUUUUCCACUGAAAAAGUCUACCAUGGAUUUACAUGCAACUGAGAGAUUUAAAGAUGUCUUCUUUGGCUGGCAUGAUUGUUUACGUUUUCCUCAUUAGAAGCAAUUAACCUACAUGAUCUGUGCAGAAUAUGUCUCACCACUUUAGUAGGAAGGUUUAACAGAAAAUAAUAGUAGCACUGUUUUAACAAGUGGUCCCUUUGUAUGAUGCAGGUUCAAGGGCAGAGCCAUAGAUUUAGCCUCUAAAAAUAAGCUCUGAACGAAUUUAACCACAAUGUGCACGCAAGGGCAGUGAUGCCUUUUACUACUUGAGAGGCCCAACAAGGCAUUUUUACUUUUCUGCUACCAAAGGAAACAAUGAAAAAAAUAUGCUACUCCAGUGCCCUGUAGUUAGUUCCUGUAAAUUUUUACAAAUAUGAUGAAGAAUAAGAUGCAUCAUUUGCAGUACUUGGCUACCAAGAAGGAGCGACACUGUCAUCAAAAUUUUCUCUAUGAGCUAUAUAGUAUAUACUGUCUUUUGACUAUGCGCUUCUCUUAGUACUGCUUGAACAAUCUGUAUCUUUGCCCUGUAUUAUAUGAGCUUAUGAUAGACACACUGUUUGAAAGCACGACCAGCAGCCAAGGACAUCUCACGCCACGCUCUAUCUCAUCUUAGUCCUCACUAAUUCACAAACGGGAUGAAGAGGACACACUAGCUGUCGGGCAGGUUUAGCGCUACUUCCACCAUCACGCCAUCCUCCAUUACUGGAGACCGCGAUGUGGGAUGUUCGUGGGCGGGGAGAGACUCGCCAGUUGUUUCUGCGUAGCCGUCGAUGGCAUCCAUUUGCCUUUUGUUUCAGAGGGCGAACUCCGGGGUCUAUUGUUCACACCCAACAUGAGGAUGCAGUACUAGGAGCAGAGAAUAACAAGUUAAACAAUAACAGACCAUGCUUCUGAAACUUUCAAUGAAAUAUACUGUGCCAGUUUAAACACAUAUUGUUUUGUGAAUCAUUUCCAGCCACUAGAUGCUACCAGCACUUCACAAGGACACAAAAUACCAACAGUAGAAGACACCUAAGGUAAAAAUUCAAAGGAAAGGUGAGUACAGAUGUACAGAAUGUUGACGUAAUGAUAUUGUACCAUGCAACAUUGUGAAGGAGUUAUUUCAAAAGGAAGAUAGAGCUGAUCUUGGAGAAGAGUAGGAUAUACUGUGAUAAAUGAAGACCCAAGUUGCAGUUGCUUCAUGGAUGUAUCGACCCUUUAGUGCUCUUUCUUUCUAAAUCGCAUAUGUCUGCUUAUAUAAUCUUUUGAACCACUGCCUUCUGGGCUGUAAUAAUAGCGUACUGCUUAGAUUGUGGUUUGGUAUGUCAUUACAAGCUUAAAAUUAUUUGCUAUCUAAUUUUUAUGUAGUUCUUGUGUAAUAUUUGUUUCUGCUUUCAUCUUAGUAUGUCAUUACAAUCUAAUUGUUCGUUCUCACCUGGCUUAAUUAGCUGAAAACUGAUGUUCUUACGGUGCCACUUUCUAUUUGCAGUACUAUUGCUGAGCCACCUUACCAUCACAAGUAUUUUCCUGAGCUCUGGUGAUUACUCCCAAGGAUUACUCCACCAAAUAUCAUUACUGAGUGCCGCGUAACAAGGAGGGCAGCAGCCUCGGCGCGGCGAUCAAGUCUCUCCUUAGCGCGGAUAAGUAGUGCCACCUGGCCAGCGGCAGGAAGUCCGCCGAUCGUCGGGAUCUGCUUCAUGGACGGCGCUGGAAGAAGCUCAAUGACCAGGCCAUCGUCCUCUCCAAGAGGAGGGGCCAGCUCAAGCAGUCAGAGUUUGGCGAGCUGUCAAGAUUUUGCUUUUAGUCACAGAGAUAGGCUUCAAAUGUUAUCUACCUUGGUAAGGUGAUUCGUUGUCUUCAGCUGGUAUGUUUAAGCCUGUGCCAGGUUCAGUUAGCGAUAAUAACACCAACAGCGGAGGUGGAGCAUGCAUAGUGCCUAAGUUCAUGAGCUAAUUGUGAUAUUAUUAAUAGAGUUUUCAUAUUUAUCAUUAGGAUGAUGAAGCCUGUCAAGUAUUAUCCAAUACUAAUUAGCUUUGCCUCAGAGCUUGGAAAGAGAAAGUAGAGUUAUCAAUAAUGAUCAGCUACCGUUGAUAUCGAUGUUUCCAGAACAUCGUUUCCAAUUGUCUGUUAUCUCAUUGUGUUUAUAAGCAGAUACAACAUCUCCUGUAACACUUAUUCUUACACUUGCUGAUAUGAACUACUCCCUCCGUCCCAUAAUGUAAGAUGUUUUUUGACACUACAUUAGUGUCAAAAAACAUCUUACAUUAUGGGAAGGAGGGAGUACUUGGCUAUGUUUAUAGAAUUUAUCUCUUUGUGUUUUGUACUACUGGAUGCAAAUUAGUUGUCCUCGGCAAAAAUUGUGCCUUGCUUUUGGUACAAAUUUUGACUUUGUGAACUGCAGUGAAAUUGUGGUUAUCCUAGGCAACAACUACACUUUUCUUUUGGUAUAUAUUUGAUCUGCAUGCCCUA